CUACGGGUGGCUGCAGUGGGAAAUAUUGCACAAUGGGCGCAAGCCUGAUGCAGCCAUGCCGCGUGUAUGAAGAAGGCCUUCGGGUUGUAAAGUACUUUCAGCGGGGAGGAAGGGAGUAAAGUUAAUACCUUUGCUCAUUGACGUUACCCGCAGAAGAAGCACCGGCUAACUCCGUGCCAGCAGCCGCGGUAAUACGGAGGGUGCAAGCGUUAAUCGGAAUUACUGGGCGUAAAGCGCACGCAGGCGGUUUGUUAAGUCAGAUGUGAAAUCCCCGGGCUCAACCUGGGAACUGCAUCUGAUACUGGCAAGCUCGAGUCUCGUAGAGGGGGGUAGAAUUCCAGGUGUAGCGGUGAAAUGCGUAGAGAUCUGGAGGAAUACCGGUGGCGAAGGCGGCCCCCUGGACGAAGACUGACGCUCAGGUGCGAAAGCGUGGGGAGCAAACAGGAUUAGAUACCCGGGUAGUC
rnacentral:rRNA from 1 species